CUGCUCAGUAACACGUAGUUAACCUAACCUAUGGACGGGGAUAACCUCGGGAAACUGAGAAUAAUCCCCGAUAGAUCACGGUGCCUGGAAUGGCCUGUGGUCCAAAUGAUUUAUCGCCGUAGGAUGGGACUGCGGCCUAUCAGCUAGUUGGUGAGGUAAUGGCCCACCAAGGCUAUAACAGGUACGGGCUCUGAGAGGAGGGGCCCGGAGAUGGGUACUGAGACACGGACCCAGGCCCUAUGGGGCGCAGCAGGCGAGAAACCUUUGCAAUGUGCGAAAGCACGACAAGGUUAAUCCGAGUGUCUCCUGCUAAAGGAGUCUUUUGCCGGUCAUAAAACCACCGGUGAAUAAGGGGUGGGCAAGUUCUGGUGUCAGCCGCCGCGGUAAAACCAGCACCUCGAGUGGUCAGGAGGCUUAUUGGGCCUAAAGCAUCCGUAGCCGGCUGCUCAAGUUUUCGGUUAAAUCUAUGCGCUCAACGUAUAGGCCGCCGAAAAUACUGGGCAGCUAGGGAGUGGGAGAGGUACACGGUACUCAAUAGGAAGGGGUAAAAUCCUUUGAUCUAUUGAUGACCACCUGUGGCGAAGGCGGUGUACCAGAACACGUUCGACGGUGAGGGAUGAAAGCUGGGGGAGCAAACCGGAUUAGAUACCCGGGUAGUCCCAGCUGUAAACGAUGCAGACUCGGUGAUGCAUUGGCUUGUGGCCAAUGCAGUGCCGCAGGGAAGCCGUUAAGUCUGCCGCCUGGGAAGUACGUACGCAAGUAUGAAACUUAAAGGAAUUGGCGGGGGGAGCACCACAAGGGGUGAAGCCUGCGGUUCAAUUGGAGUCAACGCCAGAAAUCUUAC
rnacentral:rRNA from 1 species